rnacentral:misc_RNA from 1 species
UCCGGCUUGUCACCGGCAGUUUCUUUAGAGUCCCCAGCAUGACCUGAUGGUAACUAAAGAUGAGGGUUGCGCUCGUUGCGGGACUUAACCCAACAUCUCACGACACGAGCUGACGACAGCCAUGCAGCACCUGUCUCUACCCCAGCCGAACUGAGACCUCUCAUUACAAAAGGGUUUAGGUAGGAUGUCAAGAGCUGGUAAGGUUUUUCGCGUAGCCUCGAAUUAAACCACAUGCUCCACCGCUUGUGCGGGUCCCCGUCAAUUCCUUUGAGUUUUAAUCUUGCGACCGUACUCCCCAGGCGGGGUGCUUAACGCGUUAGCUGCGAUACCGAAACUAAUGUCCCGACAUCUAGCACCCAUCGUUUAGGGCGUGGACUAC